rnacentral:rRNA from 1 species
ACUGCUCAGUAACACGUGGACAACCUACCCUAUGGAGGGGGAUAACCCCGGGAAACUGGGGAUAAUACCCCAUAGAUUAUGGAAGCUGGAAUGCUCUGUAGUUGAAAGGUCCGCCGCCAUAGGAUGGGUCUGCGGCCGAUUAGGUUGUUGUUGGGGUAACGGCCCAACAAGCCUGUAAUCGGUACGGGUUGUGGGAGCAAGAGCCCGGAGAUGGAUUCUGAGACACGAAUCCAGGCCCUACGGGGCGCAGCAGGCGCGAAAACUUUACAAUGCGGGAAACCGUGAUAAGGGAACUCCGAGUGCCCGUAAAAUCGGGCUGUCCAUCUGUUUAAAUAACAGGUGAAGAAAGGGCCGGGCAAGACCGGUGCCAGCCGCCGCGGUAAUACCGGCGGCUCGAGUGGUGGCCACUAUUACUGGGCUUAAAGCGUUCGUAGCUGGUCUGUUAAGUCUCUGGGGAAAUCUACUGGCUUAACCAAUAGACGUUUCAGGGAUACUGGCAGACUAGGGACCGGGAGAGGUGAGAGGUACUCCAGGGGUAGGAGUGAAAUCCUGUAAUCCUUGGGGGACCACCUGUGGCGAAGGCGUCUCACCAGAACGGCUCCGACAGUGAGGGACGAAAGCUGGGGGAGCAAACCGGAUUAGAUACCCGGGUAGUCCCAGCCGUAAACGAUGUGCGUUAGGUGUAUCGAUGACCACGAGUCAUCGAGGUGCCGAAGAGAAAUCGUGAAACGUACCGCCUGGGAAGUACGGUCGCAAGGCUGAAACUUAAAGGAAUUGGCGGGGGGAG